rnacentral:rRNA from 1 species
AACCUCCGCAAUGUGAGAAAUCGCGACGGGGGGAUCCCAAGUGCCGUUCUUAACGGGAUGGCUUUUCAUUAGUGUAAAGAGCUUUUGGAAUAAGAGCUGGGCAAGACCGGUGCCAGCCGCCGCGGUAACACCGGCAGCUCUAGUGGUAGCAAUUUUUAUUGGGCCUAAAGCGUCCGUAGCCGGUUUAAUAAGUCUCUGGUGAGAUCCUGCAGCUUAACUGUGGGAAUUGCUGGAGAUACUAUUAGACUUGAGACCGGGAGAGGUUGGAGGUACUCCCAGGGUAGAGGUGAAAUUCUGUAAUCCUGGGAGGACCGCCUGUUGCGAAGGCGUCUAACUGGAACGGUUCUGACGGUGAGGGACGAAAGUUAGGGGCGCGAACCGGAUUAGAUACCCGGGUAGUCCUAACUGUAAACGAUGCGGACUUGGUGUUGGGGUGGCUUUGAGCUGUCCCAGUGCCGAAGGGAAGCUGUUAAGUCCGCCGCCUGGGAAGUACGGUCGCAAGACUGAAACUUAAAGGAAUU